rnacentral:rRNA from 1 species
AGAGUUUGAUCCUGGCUCAGGACGAACGCUGGCGGCGUGCUUAACACAUGCAAGUCGAACGGUGAAGUCCCUUCGGGGGCGGAUCAGUGGCGAACGGGUGAGUAACACGUGGGCAAUCUGCCCCUCACUGUGGGAUAACUCCGGGAAACCGGGGCUAAUACCGCAUAUGAAGCCUGGCGGCAUCGCCGGGUUUGGAAAGUUUUUCGGUGAGGGAUGAGCCCGCGGCCUAUCAGCUUGUUGGUGAGGUAAUGGCUCACCAAGGCGACGACGGGUAGCCGGCCUGAGAGGGCGACCGGCCACACUGGGACUGAGACACGGCCCAGACUCCUACGGGAGGCAGCAGUGGGGAAUAUUGGGCAAUGGGCGAAAGCCUGACCCAGCGAC